AUGCGACAUGCUUGGGUUGAGGACAAAGGAGAAUCAGCCUCCAUUGUAGAUUUCGUUGAUACAAAGAAUUUAAAGGAAAAAGGCCAUUUGAAUUUGAUUGGGGCUAUCUAUUGGUGUGAAUUGUCUAAUCGAAGUGCAAGGCAUUGGGAAUGAUUCUGUGACUUUUGCUAAUCGGAAUGAGACCAAUAACAUUACAAAAAUUGAAACUUUUCUCCAAUUGUUUCAAUAUAGUGUAUGUUUGGAUAGCAGCAAACGGUACUACGUUUUGCGUGUCUAACAUUUUUUAAUGAUUCUCAUGUACUGUUCACGGGACUUGUAAGUAUUUUUUUUUUUUCCAAAAAAACAACUUUAAAACUGGGUAUCACGGUUCUAUUCACACAUUUAAAAAUUAUUUUGCUAAAGUGUUUUCAAUUUUCAUUUUCUAAUUUUAAGCAAUAAACAGUAUCCAAACAGACCCAUAAUGCUUUAGGAUUUGGGUCAACUUGAGGAUGUUCAAUAAUUUACUAUAUAGUUUGUAUUGAAUCUUUUCAGUGCUUGGGUUUUGAGGAAUGAGUCUUUGCAUAGCUUGGAAAAUUUUAUUGAAUUAUUUCUUGUCCAAGUUUUUUGCAGUUUCUUUACGUUUUCUAUGUUUGGUAUUUGUUCAAGCAUUUGUUCAAGAUAUAGAUGAAGUUUUUCUGAUUGUUGUGUUGCUGGGUACUAUGUUUGCUACCUACGAAAGUGCAAGAAUACAAAUGAAAAUAAAAGAAAUUGAGGAUUUACCAAAAAAAAAAAAAAAUCAUUUUCUUUAAUUUUUUUUCUUUCAAUUAUUUUUUUUAGAUUUUGUUUAUCUGACAUGGCCUUUUUUUUUUCAUUAAAAUGCUUAUGUGGAUUUUUUAUGUUAAAUUAUUUGAUUUUAUAUUAUAAUGUUAGCCACAUGUGCGCUAAUCAUGCAAACCAUUUGCCACCUAAAUAUUUUUCGUUAGUGAGUUAAUGGUAGAGACCAAAUUGACUGGAAGCUGAGAAUAACAAGGACCAUAUUAAUUAUUACCAAAAUGUAAGGACCAAAUUGACCGUGGUCUCAAAAUGUAGGAACCAAAAUGGUGUUUUUGUCUUAUUUAAUAGAGCAUUGGUAUAACACCAGAACAGAUAAGAACAAAUUUAUAACCUAAUAAACUUAAGUAUAGUACCAAAACAAUACAAACUAUUUUAUUAGUGUUUCAACGACUAAACCAAUACAAAUAACAACAAAUUUAUAUUGGUAGUACAUCAAAUCAACAAAAAUAAUCAAAACCAAAUGACAUCUUAUUUAGUUAGUGUGGGUACCUAGGCAUGCAUGGAAUGUCCUAGGCAUGCAUGGCAACGUUUUAGGCAUGCUUGGCAACCACCUCGGACGAAGUCCUAGGUGUCCCACAUCGAAGAAAAGCCCCCCAACUUGCUGCCUUAUAAGCUCUGAAGCGAAGGAAGUAGUGUAUUAUCAGUUUAGUUAUUCGAAUAAUUAUAAACUGAUAGUACACUACUUCCUUCGCUUCAGAGCUUAUAAGGCAGCAAAUGGGAGGGGGGGGUCUUCCUUCGAUAUGGGACACCUAGGACUUCGUCUGAGGUGGUUGCCAAGCAUGCCUAGGACGUUGCAAGGCCGGCCGAGGACGGCCUAGGACGUUGCUAUGCAUGCCUAGGACAUUCCAUGCAUGCCUAGGUACCCACAAUUAGUAACAUAUCAAAUAGUUCUAUCUCAACUUAGUUGAGAAACAAAAUAAAUAUAAAUUAGUUUUAUUAUUCUAUAUUUAAUAGGAUAUUAUAUAGUUCUAUCCCAACUCAAAUUUUUAUUUUUUUAGAAAGUAUCCCAACUCAAUUGAUAAACAACAGAGUAAACAAUAAAAUCAUAUAAUAUAUUUUUUAAAUAUAUAUUAAAUAUAAGUGGGUUAGGUUGGGUUAGACGGAUUUGUGAAUCUAGUAACCCUCACUCAACUUGACUCAUUAUAAAAAAGAUUUUGACAAUCCAACCCAACCCACCAAUCCUUCAAAACCUACAAAACCUAGCAGAUUUGGGUUAGAUCGAAUCGAUUUUGACAAAUUGACGGGUUGGUUACACACCCCUAAUUCAAGCCAUUUUUUGCUGCACACCCUUAAUUCAAGCCAUUUUCUAAUAGGGAUUUGGUGGACUAAGGAGCAAAAAAUGCUCAACCACGUUGAAUAUGUGUGCCUACCACAAAUGAAUCAUGGAUAGAUGCAUUUUUAGGUUUGACAGACGUGCACUACAGUAAAUAAUUGAAAAUUUAAUAAGAUUCAAUAGAAAAAAAAAGUGAAAAUAACUUUUUAUAUUAGUAAAAUUAUUACUAUUAUUUUGAUAGUUAUAAUAUGGAGGGGUUUAAAUUAUAGAUAUUUCUCCUUUUUGAUAUAAGAUGUUUCUCUUAAAAAUACUAAGAGACGUUAAUUAGUUAAAUUACAACUCUUAUGCCGAUAAUAAAAUUACUAUUAAACAUUCUCGUUUUCAAACUUACAUGAGUAAGCCUAAAACGUCACCCUAAGAUUGCAUGGAAGGUCAAAAAUUACAAUAAAACGCCGAAUAUGACCAUUAUUCAUUCCCUAUAAUCCAUUAGCAUUUUAAAUUAUUUUGAAUAGGCAAGAUAAAAUUUAAAAUCUGUGAUAUCUAUCUAAUAUUUUAGACGAAUACUCCAAGGUAGUAUUUUGUUUUGGUACAAUGCAAUAUUGGAAUUAGCUCUCAAAUAAUAAGAUAAGAGUUUGUGAAUUGAAAUAAUUAAGAAUUUUAGAAGUUACUAGUAAGUAAUUUAGAACCUAAAAAUAGGAAAUAGAAGUUGCAAAGGCGCGUGGAGCGAAGAGGGAAAGAUUAUGCGUCACAUUUGUCCAAUAAGAAUGAAAAAGGUGGCACAUGGGAAACUUUGGCUUUUGCCACGUUCCUCCAUUUAUGAGGCUUAGCUAGCUGUGUUAUGAUUCGCAUCUCAACCCCCAAAAGUGCAAUGCCAAUGUGAUAGAUAGACUUCCACACUUUGUUAACACCACUAAGGAACCGCGUAUGGUAUAUUUCGUAUUUCAUUUUCAUUUUUCAUGUGACAGCACGUGUGGUCCGUGUGACUGACUCUCUAUAUAUUCACCUAUUUCUCCUCUGCAGUUUCUAUCACAAAACACACACAAGUAGUCAUUGGAUCAGUUACAAAUAUAUAUAAUAAUUUCCCAAUUUUCAUUUACUCUUUCCCUCAAAAAAAAAAAAAAAAAGCCCUUCUAGCCUCUUGAAUUUCCUCUUUCAACAUCCCCAAAGAAAAGGCUACAUACGUAGAAAUGGCUGAUGAAGGCACAGCUACCUGCAUAGACAUCCUCUUGGCCAUUAUUUUGCCUCCUCUUGGUGUCUUCCUCAAGUUUGGUUGCAAGGUAAUCAUCUAUAUAUAAUAUACUCAAUUUCUUUAAUUCAUAUAUAUAUAUAUAUAUAUUUCUUAGUAUGUAAGUUUAAUUAUAAAGAUAUAUGAUUGAUUCAUUUUUCAUUUGGGUGAAUUCAGGUCGAGUUUUGGAUUUGUUUGUUGCUUACCAUUUUCGGCUAUCUCCCUGGGAUUAUUUAUGCUGUCUAUGCCAUCACCAAGCAUUGAACUUCAAUCUUUGUAAUCAUCCACUUAUCUCUCUCCCCCUUGCUUCUGUUUCUUUUUCUUUUUCUUAUAUAAAACAAUUUAAAUUUUUUUUUUUACUAAUUAUAAAUCAAAGAUUUAUUAAAACAAAAUGUUAUAUAAAUAUAUUUUUAGACUAAAAUAACCAAUCUCCACUUGAUGUGUUAUAUGUGCUAAUUGAAUAUGAAAGAUAAAACGUUUGAGAUGCAUGAGUUAACUUUUUAUACAUCGAUACGUUUAUUUUCGUAUAUAGGAUGGUGGGUACGUUAUGAUUUAAGUUUGUGCGUAUUAUUAAAAAAUUAUCAAUAAAAAUUUCUCGAAGAUAAACUAAUGUUCUAUAAGAAGUUUGCAAUUUUUUGUUGUUGAUAAUAACGUGGGAAACAGAUCUCACUUGAAAUUGCAUUUUGAUCUUUUCUUCUAAGUUGAACAAGUUUGAAUUAAAAACUUCUUGGGGAUAAGAACCAGAUGAUUUGAUACUAUUUAGUACUUGUUACUCACAAAAAAUACUAGAAUCACAACUUUGCACCCAAUCUAUUACUUGAAGAAUUGGAAGGGGUGAAAUUGUAGACUUACAUAACUGGAAAGGUUUGGUAAAGUAGUUUGACUUGUUUGUAAUUUUUUAAAAUAUAUAUAGGCAAAAAAAAAAAUAUAAUAUUAUUUAAAAUGUAAAAAUGCGAAUUUGAACUCACUCACCAAAUAAGCCUAUACUUUUACUCUAGCAUUCUAUCAUUCACAUUUUGAUAAAUUUUGACAAAAAUUGUAUUAUUGGCAGUUUUUCAAAAAAAAUUGUUAAAAUGUAUUUGUACAGACAAAUGUCACUCUGUCUCACUCAUGACUCGUGACUCGAGAGUUAUGGGACUGGAUAGACUCAAUAGACAGCGUUUAAUACAUAGGCCCCGCGUGAUCUUGACGUUACCUGCACUAUACCUCUUGUUUUUCACGUUAAUAAUUGUGACUAAGUGGACUGCCUUUUUCCUCUAAUUAUGAUUGAGCUGGGCUAAGCUUUUGACAAUUUUGCAUCGUUUUUUUGGGCAGGUGGAGGUGUGACCUGUGAACGGCACUAUGUCUUUUGUUUUUCUGAUUUGGGGUUCGUUUAUAGCCGUUGA
rnacentral:sRNA from 1 species